CACCACAUUCCUGCGGUUGGGAGUGCUAGUUAGCACCAAGUCUCCUUUCAACACCCCCAUUCUGCCAGUCAGAAAACCUGACACGGAUCCAGAGGGAAAACCGGUAUACCGAUUUGUCCAGGACUUGCGUGCAGUGAAUAGAGUCGUUCAGGCUAGACACAUCGUGGUACCUAACCCUCACACUAUCCUGACUGCCAUUCCAGCAGGUACUGCUUGCUAUUUGGUAAUAGACUUGUGUAAUGCCUUUUUCAGUAUUCCCCUAGAUCAAGACAGCUGGGAUAUCUUUGCAUUUACAUGGACGGAUCCAGAGACCGGGAGGGCAGAACAGCUGACCUGGACUCAGCUACCACAAGGAUAUGUGUUGCCAGAUAUU